GCUAACGGCUGAACUGGCAACUUGGAGAAGUGGCAAGUCUUAUAGGAUGGGCUGGUGCUACCCCCAUUUUUAUAAGAUUGUAUUAGAAUUGAAUGAAGCUUUGUUUAUAUAUUGAUAAUGACAGUAUAUAUAUCGUGUCUUGACUAAUUGCGUGCCAGCAGUCGCGGUAAUACGUAAGAGACUAGUGUUAUUCAUCUUAAUUAGGUUUAAAGGGUACCCAGACGGUCAAUAUAGCUUAUAAAAUGUUAGUACUUGACUAGAGUUUUAUGUAAGAGGGCAGUACUUGAGGAGGAGAGAUGAAAUUCUGUGAUACCAAAGGGACUCUGUAAAGGCGAAGGCAGCCCUCUAUGUAAGAACUGACGUUGAAGGACGAAGGCACAGAGAACAAACAGGAUUAGAUACCCAAGUAGUCUUUGCAGUAAAUGAUGAAUGCCAUAGGUUAGAUGAAUCCUUAAUGUUUGGAGACUAUGCAUUAGAGGUUAUUUGGUCUAUAAAUGAAAGUGUAAGCAUUUCACCUCAAGAGUAAUGUGGCAACGCAGGAACUGAAAUCACUAGACCGUUUCUGACACCAGUAGUGAAG
rnacentral:rRNA from 1 species